rnacentral:rRNA from 1 species
CCUACGGGUGGCAGCAGUGGGGGAUAUUGCACAAUGGGGGGAACCCUGAUGCAGCGACGCCGCGUGGGUGAAGAAGCGCCUCGGCGCGUAAAGCCCUGUCAGCAGGGAAGAAAAUGACGGUACCUGAAGAAGAAGCCCCGGCUAACUACGUGCCAGCAGCCGCGGGAAUACGUAGGGGGCAAACGCUAUGCGGCUAUACUGGGUGUAACGGGGGCGCAGACGGCGAUGCAAGCCAGGAGCGAAAGCCCGGGGCCCAACCCCGGGACUGCGCUUGGAACUGCGUGGCUGGAGUGCAGGAGGGGCAGGCGGAAUUCCUGGUGUAGCGGUGAAAUGCGUAGAUAGAAGGAGGAACACCGGUGGCGAAGGCGGCC